AGCCCCGUACAAUAACAGGUAAAGUUCGCCGGACUUUGAAUCCGGAGGAAAAGGUUCGAUUCCUUUCGGGGCUA
rfam:Candidate divison MSBL1 archaeon SCGC-AAA259I09 AAA259I09_Contig_60, whole genome shotgun sequence.